rnacentral:siRNA from 1 species
AAGGUGGACCCAGUGGUGCUGAUG